UUAAGUGAAUAAGGGCGCACGGUGGAUGCCUUGGCACUAGGAGCCGAUGAAGGACGGGACUAACACCGAUAUGCUUUGGGGAGCUGUAAGUAAGCUAUGAUCCAGAGAUUUCCGAAUGGGGGAACCCAAUAUCUUUUAUAGGAUAUUACUUUUCAGUGAAUACAUAGCUGAUUAGAGGUAGACGCAGAGAACUGAAACAUCUUAGUACCUGCAGGAAGAGAAAGAAAAUUCGAUUCCCUGAGUAGCGGCGAGCGAAACGGGAAGAGCCCAAACCAACAAGCUUGCUUGUUGGGGUUGUAGGACUCCAAUAUGGUAGACUGUUAGUAUAGUUGAAGGAUUUGGAAAAUUCCGCUAAAGAGGGUGAAAGCCCCGUAGACGAAAUGCUGACAACACCUAGGAGGAUCCUGAGUACGGCGGAACACGAGAAAUUCCGUCGGAAUCCGCGGGGACCAUCCCGCAAGGCUAAAUACUCCCUAGUGACCGAUAGUGAACCAGUACCGUGAGGGAAAGGUGAAAAGCACCCCGGAAGGGGAGUGAAAUAGAUCCUGAAACCGUGUGCCUACAACAAGUCAAAGCUCGUUAAUGAGUGAUGGCGUGCCUUUUGUAGAAUGAACCGGCGAGUUACGAUUGCAUGCGAGGUUAAGUCGAAGAGACGGAGCCGCAGCGAAAGCGAGUCUGAAUAGGGCGAAUGAGUAUGUAGUCGUAGACCCGAAACCAUGUGAUCUACCCAUGUCCAGGUUGAAGGUGCGGUAAAACGCACUGGAGGACCGAACCCACGUACGUUGAAAAGUGCGGGGAUGAGGUGUGGGUAGCGGAGAAAUUCCAAACGAACUUGGAGAUAGCUGGUUCUCUCCGAAAUAGCUUUAGGGCUAGCCUCGGAAUUGAGAAUGAUGGAGGUAGAGCACUGUUUGGACUAGGGGCCCAUCUCGGGUUACCGAAUUCAGAUAAACUCCGAAUGCCAUUCAUUUAUAUCCGGGAGUCAGACUGCGAGUGAUAAGAUCCGUAGUCGAAAGGGAAACAGCCCAGACCACCAGCUAAGGUCCCAAAAUAUAUGUUAAGUGGAAAAGGAUGUGGGGUUGCACAGACAACUAGGAUGUUGGCUUAGAAGCAGCCACCAUUUAAAGAGUGCGUAAUAGCUCACUAGUCGAGUGACCCUGCGCCGAAAAUGUACCGGGGCUAAACAUAUUACCGAAGCUGUGGACUACACCAUUAGGUGUAGUGGUAGGAGAGCGUUCUAAGGGCGUUGAAGGUCGAUCGUGAGGACGGCUGGAGCGCUUAGAAGUGAGAAUGCCGGUAUGAGUAGCGAAAGACAGGUGAGAAUCCUGUCCACCGUAUGACUAAGGUUUCCUGGGGAAGGCUCGUCCGCCCAGGGUUAGUCGGGACCUAAGCCGAGGCCGAUAGGCGUAGGCGAUGGACAACAGGUUGAUAUUCCUGUACCAGUUGUUUUUGUUUGAGCAAUGGAGGGACGCAGUAGGCUAAGGAAUGCAUGCGAUUGGAAGUGCAUGUCCAAGCAAUGAGUCUUGAGUAGAGUUAAAUGCUUUACUCUCUAAGGACAAGUUGUGACGGGGAGCGAAAUAAUAGUAGCGAAGUUCCUGAUGUCACACUGCCAAGAAAAGCUUCUAGUGAGAAAACAACUGCCCGUACCGUAAACCGACACAGGUAGUCGAGGAGAGUAUCCUAAGGUGAGCGAGCGAACUCUCGUUAAGGAACUCGGCAAAAUGACCCCGUAACUUCGGGAGAAGGGGUGCUGACUUCGGUCAGCCGCAGUGAAUAGGCCCAAGCGACUGUUUAUCAAAAACACAGGUCUCUGCAAAAUCGUAAGAUGAAGUAUAGGGGCUGACGCCUGCCCGGUGCUGGAAGGUUAAGAGGAUGGGUUAGCUUCGGCGAAGCUCAGAAUUGAAGCCCCAGUAAACGGCGGCCGUAACUAUAACGGUCCUAAGGUAGCGAAAUUCCUUGUCGGGUAAGUUCCGACCCGCACGAAAGGCGUAACGAUUUGGGCACUGUCUCAACGAGAGACUCGGUGAAAUUUUAGUACCUGUGAAGAUGCAGGUUACCCGCGACAGGACGGAAAGACCCCAUGGAGCUUUACUGUAGUUUGAUAUUGAGUGUUUGUACCACAUGUACAGGAUAGGUAGGAGCCGAUGAGACCGGAACGCUAGUUUCGGAGGAGGCGCUGGUGGGAUACUACCCUUGUGUUAUGAACCCUCUAACCCGCACCACUAAUCGUGGUGGGAGACAGUGUCAGAUGGGCAGUUUGACUGGGGCGGUCGCCUCCUAAAAGGUAACGGAGGCGCCCAAAGGUUCCCUCAGAAUGGUUGGAAAUCAUUCGAAGAGUGUAAAGGCAGAAGGGAGCUUGACUGCGAGACCUACAAGUCGAGCAGGGACGAAAGUCGGGCUUAGUGAUCCGGUGGUUCCGCAUGGAAGGGCCAUCGCUCAACGGAUAAAAGCUACCCUGGGGAUAACAGGCUUAUCUCCCCCAAGAGUCCACAUCGACGGGGAGGUUUGGCACCUCGAUGUCGGCUCGUCGCAUCCUGGGGCUGUAGUCGGUCCCAAGGGUUGGGCUGUUCGCCCAUUAAAGCGGCACGCGAGCUGGGUUCAGAACGUCGUGAGACAGUUCGGUCCCUAUCCGUCGCGGGCGUUGGAAAUUUGAGAGGAGCUGUCCUUAGUACGAGAGGACCGGGAUGGACUUACCGCUGGUGUACCAGUUGUUCUGCCAAGGGCAUUGCUGGGUAGCUAUGUAGGGAAGGGAUAAACGCUGAAAGCAUCUAAGUGUGAAGCCCACCUCAAGAUGAGAUUUCCCAUUUCUUUAAGAAAGUAAGACCCCUGAGAGAUGAUCAGGUAGAUAGGUUGGAAGUGGAAGGCUAGUGAUAGUUGGAGCGGACCAAUACUAAUCGGUCGAGGACUUAACCAA
rnacentral:rRNA from 1 species